rnacentral:lncRNA from 1 species
UUUGUCCCAUAAUGGCAUGCCCUCAAAACCAAGAUCAGCAUCAGCUACUCCAUCCUUCCCGUAGGAUUGUGUUCUCAGUCACUCUGUCUUGUCCGACUCUGUGAAGGAAGUUUAGUAGUUCUCAUGGAGCACACGCUUCCUUGGAGCAACCUGACAACUUACUUCUCUCUAGCUACCUUGCUUUGCUCUGCCAUCACAUUUGGAGAUGGCCUUGGCCGUCUCUUAUAAUUUUGUCUCUAGACACUCCAUGGUCCUAAUCCUAUGGAAACUACCAAACUUCCUUCACAUCGUCAAUGGGAAAAUCACUUGCUCCCCUUUUUGUUCAGGGAGUUGUAACAGCCCAACUUUAUCAAGCAAUUUGUGCCAAGCGCUAUAAAAUCCUUGUAACAAACGAUACCAUC